rnacentral:lncRNA from 1 species
CCUGAUGCCACCCAACUAGCCCAGGAGGCAGAGAGGUGACGCGUAACAGAGUGGCACAGAAAUCCACCAAGGGUGUAUUCAGCCCAGUUGGGUAAAUGACUACACAAUCAAGUUUCCGUGUAAAAUUCUCCGUUAACAAAGAUACAAGUUUUUCUUGCAUAUUUUCUCCCUGUCUGUGACUUAUCUUCAUGAGGACAGUAUGAGACCAUAACGCCAACCUUCCAUAACUCCACUUUUCCUACUUUCCCCUUG